UCACCUUUAGAAUACUACUCCGGAUAUC
rnacentral:sRNA from 1 species